UCCAACCUUUUCGGAGGAGGGGGACGCCGAAGGCAGGGCUGAUGACUGGGGUGAAGUCGUAACAAGGUAGCCGUACCGGAAGGUGUGGCUGGAUCACCUCCUUUUAAGAGACCUACUUCAUUAAGACUGAACCCAAUUGUUAUUAAGUCUGAGGGAAGUCAUCUUAAGGUCGAGCAAAGAUUGGAGUGUGGCUUUCAAACGAGUCUGGUUCGUUUACAAAAAAACUGGAAAUAUUAUGCCAAACAGCUUCAGCAACUUAUUCAGGUAAUUUCAUACUGAAAAGCCUGCUGAAUUGGUAUUCAGCAAAGAACCUUGAAAACUGCAUAGAGAAAAGUCAGGUAGUCAAAUGAUUGUGAUGGAUAGUCAUGAUGAUUUGAGACAGACACCAAUGUGAAAGAGUCAUAGUGGUCAAGCUAAGAAGGGCUCAUGGUG
rnacentral:misc_RNA from 1 species